GGUUAGCUCACUGGGUUGAAGUGCGGUGCUGAUAAUGCCAAGGUUGUGGGUUCGAUCCCAGCAUGAGCCA